rnacentral:lncRNA from 1 species
UAAUACACUCAAUGUUUUGGCUUCAAGAUUAUGCUUCUCACUGUGAACAGCAGAUUUUUUUAGUUCCUGACUGAUAUUUUGAAAGACAAGACAAUACGCCAUAAAGAAAGUACUUGGUAACUGUGCCUACUCUAUGUCUGAAGGGAAGCUGAAAUCAAUGAUGGGAAUUGAAUGAUGCUGACAACAAGACACACACAAAAAAAGUAUUUACAUACCUUGCUGCAACCAUUGGAUCCUCCAUAAGAAUGAGAAUCCAGAGGCACUGAAACUCUUUUGGUAUCUACAGCUAGAUAAUCAGCCCGUCUACAUGAAGAAUGCAGAGCCCAGAUUUCCAUCUGUUUUAAAAGAAAAAACAGAGAGCUACUAACACAAGGGACAUCAUUGUUGUUUUAAGCAUUUCAGGGCACUUAUUAUCUCUGGCUUAUGUUUGAAUGAGGGAUAUUUCUGAACCUUGCAGGAAGCAUGGUGAUUAUUUUUCUCACUACUUAACUGUCCAACAGCAUGGUUGAUAGAUACUGACUCCUUAGACUGAGGUACAUACUAGCCUGAGUAAAACGUACUUAAUUUUAUCAAAUCAUGGUGUGCUACCACUGUCCUUGACUUCAGCAAUGAAAACUUGAGAACUCCUACCUACUAUCAUUAAUUUGUAUUCUAUAAUUUCAGUUUCCAUGUUGUGCAACUGUUCAGUUCCCUCGUUACACAGGUCUUAAUGUUUAUCUUCUCAGAUGGUUUUUAAGCCUUGUCGCUGCAGGAAGUUGUUAAUUUUUUUUUUUAAGUAGCAAGUCAGUUUAUAGUAAAGAAGAAAGAUCUACCUAAAAUCAUAGAAGUGCUAUGGAAUUUUUUUUUCAUGAAUGUAUUAGCUCACAAACCACUGGAGAAUAGGAACUCCUGAAACUCAUGUUAAGGUCCUUCUCUUGGAGUCAAUGUUGCAACCUGUGGCACACGA